UCGAGAAUUUUUCUCAAUGAGCGAAAGCUUGAAGGAGCGACGCCGCGUGGGGGAUGAAGGGCUUCGGCUCGUAAACCCCUGUCAUUUGUGAACAAACCCUUAUAUUUAAUAGAUAUGAGGUUGAUAGUAGCGAAAGAGGAAGGGACGGCUAACUCUGUGCCAGCAGCCGCGGUAAUACAGAGGUCCCAAGCGUUGUUCGGAAUCACUGGGCGUAAAGGGUGCGUAGGUGGUCAUUAAAGUUUGGUGUGAAAUCUCCGGGCUUAACUCGGAAAGUGCAUUAAAUACUGAAUGGCUGGAGGGUUGGAGGGGAGACUGGAAUUCUCGGUGUAGCAGUGAAAUGCGUAGAUAUCGAGAGGAACACCAGUGGCGAAGGCGAGUCUCUGGACAACACCUGACACUGAGGCACGAAAGCUAGGGGAGCAAACAGG
rnacentral:rRNA from 1 species